UGGGGUCACCUGUUGCCUCUUUAGGCUGAGUUUUGAUAACUGUCCCCCUUUCAUUGAUGGGUGGAGCGAAGGAACUAAUGGGGGUGUGUGUGUGUCUCAUUUUGGGAAGCAUUGAGGGCUCCACCUUUGUUUGGGGUGGAGGUCUGCAGGCUGCCCGUUUGUCCUCUGAAAUGGGAACACUGGAACUUGGAUCAGCAGAAGCGAGUCUGUAGUGCUUCAGCUGCUGUGUGUGUGACUGCUUUGUUCCUGUCAAGCCUGAAACCUGAAUGGACCAGACAUCAGUAAAUACCUUGGAAACUGGAAUUGGUAGCCAAUGUGUGAUUGGAGGAAGAUUCUGAGGGGCCACCAGCCAGGCAGAUCUGGGGAUUCUCAGUGUGGAGGUGUGGCUAGCUACACAUUGAAAUUGACCUCAAUCAAGAUGGUACUAAUAAGGGGGCAGAACGAUGUGAACAAUAGCCCUCAAUUACUGCGGUCUGCCGAGCCGUCCCGUUAUUUUAAAUACGCUGUUACUUUAAAUGUCUAUAAUUUGUGUUCAUUGUACGAUUAUUCAGAAUAGAGACCUGGGGGGAAACACCAGCAGCUUAGCGUUCCCCUGCACCUCAAGUUUCCCCACCCAGUGCCUGAACGUGUCAGUGCAGAUUCCCUGGCUGCACCUUAGGGCAUAGGGUCCUGCGAUCCUGGCUCUGCAAACACAGCUUUGUUACCAGUUUCUCUGCCAUCUUUUAAGUGAACAGAUGUUUCUUAUCUAGGCAAAGUUUCGACGUUUAAGUCUGUCUGUCUGUCUGUCUUUCUUUCUUUCUUUCUUUCUCUCUCUCUUUCUUUCUCUCUUUCUCUCUCUCUCUCUCUCUCUCUCUCUCUCUCUCUCUUUCUCUCUUUCUUUCAUUCAUUCAUUUCUGUUUGAGACAGAAUCUUGCUAGCCCAUGCAUGCUAGCCUGAACUUAUCUUGUAGCCCAGGCUGGCUCAACUCAUGGUGAUCCUUCUAUCCUCCUGUCCUCGACCUGAUUGCUGAAGGCGUCGUCCCUGAGACUCAGCUGUAUGCCUACAGCUUCCUUUGUGUCUUUUGGUAUUGACAUUGUAGGUUAUUGUUUAAAACUUUUAAAAAUAAAAAUAACAUUAUUUAGCUAGUGUGGUUGCUUAUGUGCAUAAUCCCAACACAAGAGGGCUGAUUUGGAGGAUAGCCAGAGCUAGUGGUGAGCUGGGACCAGCCUGCACUACAGUGUCUUAACAAACAUAAGCGUUUCUACUCUGUGACUACACAGCUAGCUCAGCACUAGAAGACCAAUGUGGAAAAGUCUCCGCCUGUUCUUAUCAUCCAGGGCGAGAUGCUCUGGGCUCUGUCUCUGCCUGUGUGAGCUCUUCAGUGUGCGGUGGAGGCAGGGUUUUCCCUGGAGCUCCCUGGGACUGCUGGCUGGUCACUCGGCUGCAGGGAGAGGCCUAGCUCAUUUCUACAGUUUCCGAAGCCAGGCAGACAUGGGUAUCACACCUGAGACUCAGUUUCAUGUCUACAGGAAGCCAGUCUGUCCUGUCAGUCAUUCCUGCCUGGUGCUUCUUGUUAUCAUCUGCCACAUGGUGGUGAGCUGAGCCCGUGCCACCAUUGCUACCUGCUGCCUUCUUCCUGGGGAUUCCGUAGUGAUUCAAGCCUGUGCCUUUGUUCAGGCAGCAUCCACACUGGGACAGAGAGUUGGAAGACUCAACACUUCUCUGUUGGCUUUGUCCUCAUAAGCAGGAACCCAAGUCUGAGAAAGUGAACCGUACUGCUGGCUGGACCUUGUGUGUGAAAGAGGAAAGCAGAUGUGGGAGAAGUGGUAGAGUUGACCAUAAAAAGAACUUUUGGGAAACGAUUUCCCUCCUUUCGAUUGUGAUGUGUAUUAUACACUGAUUAAAGACAAGGGCCUCCCUAAGUAAGGUAGCAGUCACCCAGGUGGCCGGAGCACUUACUCUGACUGACUGUCAUGCUUUCUGCGUCCCACCACUGCGUGUGUGGACGGUCCAGACUGUGUCAUACGGGGGAGUGACUGGUGCUCCUGUAAUCACCGGCGAUGAUCACCUGCUCUCUAAUACCCUCACCACUGGUUUUCUUUAAACAUGGCUGUGUGGAUGUGUAGAGACGGAGUCAGACUAAGUUUUCCACCUUUCAAAUACUGUAGGUGAAAAGUGACAAAUGUCAAGGUUUGAAAGAUGGAAAGAGAGCAGAUGGGUUGGCUGGUGGGUAGAGCGCUUGUUCUUGCAGAGGGUCCAGGAACUCUUCCCCGUGCCCACGUAGCAGCUCACAGCCAUCCCUAACUCCAGGGAUGCCUCGGUGCCUCGGACCUUCUGACCUCCGUAGGCACCAGGCAUAGCUGUGGUACAUAGAUAUACAUGUAAUCAAAACACUCCUACAUACG
rnacentral:lncRNA from 1 species